rnacentral:rRNA from 1 species
GGGAAAGCAACAGGGUAUUGCCUCAGUAACGGCGAGUGAAGCGGCAAAAGCUCAAAUUUUAAAGCUGGCACCUUCGGUGUCCGCGUUGUAAUUUUGUGAGGCAUCUCCGGGUAGGGCGCCGGCCUAAGUUCCUUGGAACAGGACGUCAUAGAGGGUGAGAAUCCCGUGCUUGGCUGGCUGUCCCCGUCCAUGUGAGGUGUCUUCGACGAGUCGAGUUGUUUGGGAAUGCAGCUCAAAAUGGGUGGUAAAUUUCAUCUAAAGCUAAAUAUUGGUGGGAGACCGAUAGCGCACAAGUAGAGUGAUCGAAAGAUGAAAAGCACUUUGAAAAUAGAGUUAAAAAGUACGUGAAAUUGUUGAAAGGGAAGCGCUUGAGACCAGACUUCGGUGGGGAGUGAUCAGCCGUCCUUCUGGGCGGUGCACUUGCUCCCCUCCGGGCCAGCAUCGGUUGGGACGGCGGGAUAAAGGUCCCGGGAAUGUGGCUCCUUUCGGGGAGUGUUAUAGCCCGGGUGAAUGCCGCCAGCCCCGACCGAGGACCGCGCCUUCGGGCUAGGAUGCUUGGCAUAAUGGUCUUCAGCGACCCGUCUUGAAACACGGACCAAGGAGUCUAACAUCUAUGCGAGUGUUUGGGUGUCAAACCCUUACGCGAAAUGAAAGUGAACGGAGGUGGGAACCCGCAAGGGUGCACCAUCGACCGGUCCCGAAGUCUUCUGAAGGAUCUGAGUAGGAGCAUAGCUGUUGGGACCCGAAAGAUGGUGAACUAUGCCUGAAUAGGGUGAAGCCAGAGGAAACUCUGGUGGAGGCUCGCAGCGGUUCUGACGUGCAAAUCGAUCGUCAAAUUUGGGUAUAGGGGCGAAAGACUAAUCGAACCAUCUUAUUU